rnacentral:lncRNA from 12 species
AUGGAACUAGUCAACAGAAAUGAGAGAGAUUCUGAUGCUUCUAUGUCUAUUUCCUUUCUCUCUUUCCUGUGGUCUUCACAGUCAUUUCCCUGGGCUGAGAAAGUACUGCAUUUUCCCUUUGGUUUUCUCAUUCCUUUUUCUUGGGAUCUUGAAUUAUCUCACUUUCUGCCCCAUAUGUCUUGUAUCACCACGAAGAAAGAAGAAAGAGAAAGAAAGAAAGAAGAAAGAAGAAAGAAAGAAAGAAAGAAAGAAAGAAAGAAAGAAAGAAAGAAAGAAAGAAAGAAAGAAAGAAAGAAAGAAAGAAAGAAAGAAUCAUUAUGGUAGGACACCUUAGAUUAUGAGUCACUCCAAUUUCAGAGAUAUUACAAUUUGGGAAAAAUAUGUUUCUUAGAACUGAUUAAAUACAGUAUAUUCCACUUUAUAUGCUUAAACACAACAAAAUCUAAAGGAUAUACAGUGGGUUAUAUGAAUCUAUAAUUCAUUUUUGAUCAAGGUACCAGUGUAAUCCCCUUUGAUCAUCAUGAUUAAAGAAAGCAUGGCUCUUCCCCCACGGCAUUGCCAUAUGACAUCCACAUCUUGUUUCAAUGCUCUAUGUAACAGCUCUGUGCCUUUUCUUAUGAUCUCACCAGAAUAUAGAAUUUAGAAACGUUUUAAUUGCUUCUAGGAAAAUACUGGGUUUUUUUCCUCAACAAUGUGCUUUGAAAUUAUGCCGUCUGUGCCUAUAUCUGACUCUUGUUUUUAUCUAUCUGACUUAAGAAUUCUGUGUCUUAGUUGGUUGAUAAUGAUGUUCAGAUACUCAAGUACGAUUAUUUUUGUUUUGCCUGUUCUAUUAGUUACUGAGUAAGGGGUACAAAAUGUCCAAUUGUGACUGGGGAAUGGCCCAUUUUUCCCUUUUGUUCUAUCAAUUAGUGUUACACAAAUUUGGAGCUUUGAUAUUGGGCAUAUAAGCAAUUAUUAUAUUGUCUUCCUAAUGAAUUGAUUAUUACAAUAAAAUGUCACCAUUUCUGGUAAUACUCA